GCACUGGUUUAGCUCAGUGGUUACUUCGAACAAAUUCUAUCCUGUCUAGAUACUGCUCUCUAUCCCUCCCCGGGAUCGAACCACGGGCGCUGUCCAGUGCUUUU
rnacentral:vault_RNA from 1 species